UGAACGCUAGCGAUAGGCUAACACAUGCAAGUCGAGGGCAGCACGGUGUAGCAAUACACUGGGUGGCGACCGGCGUACGGGUGCGUAACACGUAUGCAACCUACCCGCUAGUUGGGGGAUAACCCGGCGAAAGUCGGACUAAUACCCCAUAUUAUUCUUACCGGGCAUCCGGUAGGUCUGAAAGAUUUAUCGAUUGCGGAUGGGCAUGCGGAUGAUUAGCUAGUAGGUGGGGUAACGGCUCACCUAGGCGACGAUCAUUAGGGGUUCUGAGAGGAAGGUCCCCCACACUGGAACUGAGACACGGUCCAGACUCCUACGGGAGGCAGCAGUGAGGAAUAUUGGUCAAUGGGCGCUAGCCUGAACCAGCCAAGUCGCGUGAAGGAUGACAGAUCUAUGGUUUGUAAACUUCUUUUGCAGGGGAGUAAAGUGCGACACGUGUGUUGUAUUGCAAGUACCCUGCGAAUAAGCAUCGGCUAACUCCGUGCCAGCCGCAGC
rnacentral:rRNA from 1 species